rnacentral:lncRNA from 1 species
AUAUCAAUUUAAUAUUUUUAUUACAUCACACAUUCACAUAUAUAUUGCAUCAUAAAAAUAACAAAGAAAAUAGAAUUACAAAAUAUUUAUUUUUAUUCAUAUAUUUCACUUUACAAAACCAAAAAAAAAGGUUUUAUUUUACAUUUUUUAAAAAGAAAUAGAAGCAAAGAGUUUAUUUUAUUAUCAUUACAUCAUCAUAAUCAUAAUAAUAAUAAUAAUAAUAAUGAUAAUUUUAUAUGUUGAAAAAAAUCAAAAAAAGGAUAAAAAUAAGCUUUUUGCAGUUUUCAUCUUCACGUCUGAUUCAUACUGCAGCGUGUUCCAUCCCUCCAUGUAUCUCAUGAUCAUCACAUACAAUAACCUGCAUCCAUACACAUCCACUUUUUAGUUUGAUUUAAUUAAAUUAAAAAAAAUCAAUUGCAUUCCAAACAAGCAGAAAAUGUGUGAAUACAUUGUCAGCAUACUCCGCCAUUCAACAUACAUACUUACAUCACUUUUCAUUUUAAUUUGAAUAAAAAGCAAAUCAAAUAAAUCAACAAGCUCAGCAAAGAACACAUGACUCUUUUUCUUCAUACUUAGUUAACACAAAUUAUCAUUAACUAACACAAAACUCUUAAUCCUAACCAUUCAUCAAUCACAAAUAGUACACGGAUCCUAAAAUUUUCAAUCUCAACCACACUUUCUCAAUUCACAACUUCCCCGAUUUUCAUUUUUCUUUCCCUCCAUUUUCUUAAUCUCAUCAAAAUAUUUUAUCAUUUCUUUUCCUAUAAAUAAACUCUUUCCAUCUAUCAAAUGGAUCAACAAUCACAAUCCUUAAACUUUGUCAAAAUCAAUCCUUACACUCACUCUAAAUAACUCCCAUUAGAAGCUGCUAUGAGCUUCACCUUGAAGCUUUGUGAUAGCUCGAACUUAGCCACAUACACGGAGCAACAACUGACAUGCGGUGGAAAACAAAAACUAGUAUGGAGAAGAUGGGCAAUCAAGAAGAAGAGGUGUUGAAAAGAAAGCAAUACCUAUAAGUGUCACCGCCGAACUAACUCCAUCCAGGUUGGUGAUUUUUCCAUUUUUUCACACUCUCUUCAUACCAUGAUGUACACCUUGCUCCCCUGAAUGUUAACUCCUUGUUAAUUACUCAAAUUGAUGAACGAUUGACGUUUAAUUUGAUUUUAAAGAGUUAGGGUUCAUGCUUUAAUUUGUAAAUUAAAUGGUUUUGAUUUGGAAUUUGGAAAUGCAGAAGUUGAAUUUGUGUCGAGGAGGAAAAACUGGUCAACCGAUGUGUUUUGUUUGGUGGUUUCAGCCACCCUCGCCGGAGCUGAUGGCGGAGGGGGCGGUGGCUAGUCUUAGGCAUAUGCAAUGAGGAGAGAGAAGGAGAAUCUUUUGUGUUUGGUUAUGUUAUUUUUCCUUUCCAUUUUAAUUUAGCUUUUAAUAGCUGUUUUAUUUUUAUUUUUGUUUAAUAUUUUAAUUAGUGUGCCAUAUGUCACCAUGUAAUUAGGUGACAAUUAUUACUUUUUCAAAGCAAAAAAGAAGGGGAUUAAAGUUAUUUGCUGCUUGAAUGAGGGUUGACGAGCGCCGCCCUCCCUUAUAUUUUAGUUCAUUUAUUUAUUUAUAUGUUAUUCAUUUGACUUUGGAUUAGGGUUUAGGUGUUUUUGGCCCAUUGGACUUAAUUGCUCAUACACCUCCUACCCAAACAUUUCAACGCUCAUUUUGUUUAAUUUUUAUAUCUCUUUUUUA